GGCUCAGUAGUUUAGUUGGUAAAGCACUCGUCUAGCAUAUAAAAACCGUGGGUUCGAAUCCCACCUGAGCAA
rfam:Aedes aegypti strain Liverpool supercont1.3376 genomic scaffold, whole genome shotgun sequence.